rnacentral:rRNA from 1 species
GAUGAACGCUGGCGGCGUGCUUAAUACAUGCAAGUCGGACGGAGGUUGCAGCGAUGUAACCUUAGUGGCGAACGGGUGAGUAACGCGUUGGUGACCUGCCCCGAAGCGGGGGAUAACAGUCCGAAAGGAUUGCUAAUACCUCAUGAUAUCAAUUGGAUUAGAUACCUUUUGAUCAAAGGCGAAAGCCACUUUGGGAGGGCCUGCGUCCCAUCAGCUAGUUGGUAGGUAAUGGCCUACCAAGGCCAAGACGGGUAGGGGACCUGAGAGGGUGGACCCCCACACUGGCACUGAAACACGGGCCAGACACCUACGGGAGGCAG